rnacentral:rRNA from 1 species
GUGAGGAAUAUUGGUCAAUGGGCGGGAGCCUGAACCAGCCAAGUCGCGUGAAGGAAGAAGGAUCUAUGGUUCGUAAACUUCUUUUGCAGGGGAAUAAAGUGCAGGACGUGUCCUGUUUUGUAUGUACCCUGAGAAUAAGGAUCGGCUAACUCCGUGCCAGCAGCCGCGGUAAUACGGAGGAUCCGAGCGUUAUCCGGAUUUAUUGGGUUUAAAGGGUGCGUAGGUGGUUUGAUAAGUCAGCGGUGAAAGUUUGCAGCUUAACCGUAAAAAUGCCGUUGAAACUGUCGGACUUGAGUGUAAAUGAGGUAGGCGGAAUGCGUGGUGUAGCGGUGAAAUGCAUAGAUAUCACGCAGAACUCCGAUUGCGAAGGCAGCUUACUAAGCUACAACUGACACUGAAGCACGAAAGCGUGGGGAUCAAACAGGAUUAGAUACCCGAGUAGUCC